rnacentral:rRNA from 1 species
UAUCAAUAAGCGGAGGAAAAGAAACCAACAGGGAUUGCCCCAGUAGCGGCGAGUGAAGCGGCAAGAGCUCAGAUUUGAAAUCGUGUUUCGGCACGAGUUGUAGAGUGUAGGCGGGAGUCUCUGUGGAGCGCGGUGUCCAAGUCCCUUGGAACAGGGUGCCUGAGAGGGUGAGAGCCCCGUAGGGUGCUGCGCGAAGCUUUUGAGGCCCUGCUGACGAGUCGAGUUGUUUGGGAAUGCAGCUCCAAGCGGGUGGUAAAUUCCAUCUAAGGCUAAAUAUUGGCGAGAGACCGAUAGCGAACAAGUACUGUGAAGGAAAGAUGAAAAGCACUUUGAAAAGAGAGUGAAACAGCACGUGAAAUUGUUGAAAGGGAAGGGUAUUGGGCUCGACAUGGGGGGUGCGCACCGCUGUCUCUUGUAGGCGGCGCUCUGGGCGCCCUCUGGGCCAGCAUCGGUUCCUGCUGCGGGAGAAGGGGCUCCGGAAAGUGGCUCUUCGGAGUGUUAUAGCCGGGGCCAGAUGCCGCGUGUGGGGACCGAGGACUGCGGCUUCUGUCUCGGAUGCUGGCAUAACGGCGCAAUACCGCCCGUCUUGAAACACGG